rnacentral:misc_RNA from 1 species
AGUGAGUAGAACUCUUCGCUUCUUGUAUCGCCCUUGAACGAUCGGAACUUGUCCCACCAGUGUUUGCCCCGGUCUUUCCUGAUAGCGCCAUCCUUUUUAUGCAGCGUGUUAUCGAGAAAGUAUGCCACGAUUCCAGCAACGAAUGGCUCUGAAGAGAACGGAACAUUGACCAUGUCGUUGAACCAUCUUGCUCUUGUGUGGACUGGACCAAAGCCAUUAAUGGCUGUGUACUCGUUGAAGUAUUG